GAUGAACGCUGGCGGCGUGCCUAAUACAUGCAAGUCGAGCGAACAGACGAGGAGCUUGCUCCUCUGACGUUAGCGGCGGACGGGUGAGUAACACGUGGAUAACCUACCUAUAAGACUGGGAUAACUUCGGGAAACCGGAGCUAAUACCGGAUAAUAUAUUGAACCGCAUGGUUCAAUAGUGAAAGACGGUUUUGCUGUCACUUAUAGAUGGAUCCCCGCCGCAUUAGCUAGUUGGUAAGGUAACGGCUUACCAAGGCAACGAUGCGUAGCCGACCUGAGAGGGUGAUAGGCCACACUGGAACUUAGACACGGUCCAGACUCCUACGAGAGGCAGCAGUAGGGAACCUGCCGCAAUGGGCGAAAGCAUGACGGAGCAACGCCGCGUGAGUGAUGAAGGUCUUCGGAUCGUAAAACUCUGUUAUUAGGGAAGAACAAAUGUGUAAGUAACUAUGCACGUCUUGACGGUACCUAAUCAGAAAGCCACGGCUAACUACGUG
rnacentral:rRNA from 1 species